rnacentral:piRNA from 1 species
GACCUCAAAGACUUUACGCUUCUGGUGGAA